AACGAACGCUGGCGGCAGGCCUAACACAUGCAAGUCGAGCGGACCCUUCGGGGUUAGCGGCGGACGGGUGAGUAACGCGUGGGAAUAUGCCCUUCUCUACGGAAUAGUCCUGGGAAACUGGGGGUAAUACCGUAUACGCCCUUUGGGGGAAAGAUUUAUCGGGGAAGGAUUAGCCCGCGUUGGAUUAGGUAGUUGGUGGGGUAAUGGCCUACCAAGCCGACGAUCCAUAGCUGGUUCGAGAGGAUGAUCAGCCACACUGGGACUGAGACACGGCCCAGACUCCUACGGGAGGCAGCAGUGGGGAAUCUUAGACAAUGGGGGCAACCCUGAUCUAGCCAUGCCGCGUGAGUGAUGAAGGCCUUAGGGUUGUAAAGCUCUUUCAGCUGGGAAGAUAAUGACGGUACCAGCAGAAGAAGCCCCGGCUAACUCCGUG
rnacentral:rRNA from 1 species